rnacentral:rRNA from 1 species
UACAGAGGCCUCGCGCGUUGUUCGGAAUUACUGGGCGUAAAGGGAAUGUAGGUGGUCGGAUAAGUCAGAUGUGAAAGCCCUGGGCUCAACCUGGGAAGUGCAUUUGAUACUGUUCGGCUUGAGUGCGAGAGAGGAAAGCGGAAUUCCUGGUGUAGGGGUGAAAUCCGUAGAUAUCAGGAGGAACACCGGUGGCGAAGGCGGUUCUCUGGGCAUGUCCUGACGCUGAGGAGCGAAAGUGUGGGGAGCGAACAGG